ACGGGGGGAGCAAGCGUUGUUCGGAAUUACUGGGCGUAAAGGGCGCGUAGGCGGCCUGGCAAGUGGAAGGUGAAAUCCCUCGGCUUAACCGAGGAACUGCCUCCCAAACUGCUUGGCUCGAGACCGGGAGAGGUGAGUGGAAUUCCCAGUGUAGCGGUGAAAUGCGUAGAUAUUGGGAGGAACACCAGUGGCGAAGGCGGCUCACUGGACCGGUACUGACGCUGAUGCGCGAAAGCGUGGGGAGCAAACGGGA
rnacentral:rRNA from 1 species